rnacentral:sRNA from 1 species
AAUGUCGCUACUUAUAUCUGAAAUGAUUUGUAUUAAAUGUGAAUACUGUGGAUUUCAGUGAGCACAUUCUGCCCUAACUUGCAGACAUUUAUAUAUUUGGUUGCCUCAUCAAAUCCACCCAUCCAUAUUGCGAUGUCUUUUCUUACAAAAGUUUCGUUAACGGGACGGGAAAAAUAAUAAUAAAUUUAUAAAGAGCAGGUACAUGGCCCAUGGGAUGGUCUAUAUAAGGUGGACCAGUAAGCCCAUCUGACAACUAAGUUUGCUGUCAACUGUGACUUGAAAUUCAAAUAACAGAGAGUAAAAUCACAAUUGUGAAAAAGCACUAAGUUUGUUGUCAAACCAAUGUCAAAAGUUAUCUUCUUGGCUGACCUUUUCUAGGCCUUGAGCAGGCAUACACAAAUGUCAUAAAGACUAAGAAGCGUGUAAUACAAUAUCAGUGCAAUAAAUUGGAGAUUUAAAAUUAAAAUACACUAUUUUUCGAACAUACAACUCAUACAGAAUGUUUGGUAUUGAAAAAGUUCCUUGUCGACAUGGUGAUAAUGUUUGCCACUCGCUUAAGGAUCCCAUUGGAUAUGUGGGAAAAACGUCUUAUAAGAUAAAAUCAAAUUAGAAUUUAAUGUCAUUUGACGACUUACAAACAAGUACACAUAGAAUACAAAUAAAA